AAUCGAGGCCCCGUAAUUGGAAUGAGUACACUUUAAAUCCUUUAACGAGGAUCAAUUGGAGGGCAAGUCUGGUGCCAGCAGCCGCGGUAAUUCCAGCUCCAAUAGCGUAUAUUAAAGUUGUUGCAGUUAAAAAGCUCGUAGUUGGAUCUCAGGAUUUGGAUGGAUGGUUCGCUUUCGGGCGCUACUAUCUGUCUGACCUACUCUAGUCGUGGAUGCCUUGGGUGCUCUUAAUUGAGUGCUUUUGGUGCCCGACGCAAUUACUUUGAAAGAAUUAGAGUGCUCAAAGCAGGCGUAUUGCCUGAAUAGUGUUGCAUGGAAUAAUGAAAUAGGAGUUUACUUCUAUUUUGUUGGUUUUCGGAGGUGAACUAAUGAUUAACAGGGACAGACGGGGGCAUUUGUAUGGAGGGGUUAGAGGUGAAAUUCUUGGAUCCUCUCCAGACAAACUACUGCGAAAGCAUUUGCCAGGAAUGUUUUCACUAAUCAAGAACGAAAGUCAGAGGUUCGAAGACGAUCAGAUACCGUCCUAGUUCUGACCAUAAAUGAUGCCAUCUAACAAUCCACGAAGUUUGCUUGUACGAACUCGUGGGCGGUCCCCGGGAAACCAAAGAUUUUGGGUUCCGGGGGAAGUAUGGUUGCAAAGCUGAAACUUAAAGGAAUUGACGGAAGGGCACCACCAGGAGUGGAGCCUGCGGCUUAAUUUGACCCAACACGGGAAACCUCACCCGGCCCGGACACUUUUAGGAUUGACAGAUUGAAGGCUCUUUCUUGAUCAAGUGGUUGGUGGUGCAUGGCCGUUCUUAGUUGGUGGAGCGAUUUGUCUGGUUAAUUCCGAUAACGAACGAGACUCUACUCUGCUAAAUAGAACGUUGAUAUAUAAAAGUCAGUGCUGACUUCUUAGAGAGACUAACGGCGUUUAGCCGUGUGAGAAAGAGCAAUAACAGGUCUGUGAUGCCCUUAGAUGUCCGGGGCCGCACGCGCGCUACACUGACUGCAGCAACUAGUAUGCUCCUGGUUUGAAAAAACUGGGUAACCUGGUUGAAUUGCAGGCGUGACAGGGAUCAGAGUUUGCAAUUAUCCUCUGUGAACGAGGAAUUCCCAGUAAGCGCAAGUCAUUAGCUUGUGCUGAUUACGUCCCUGCCCUUUGUACACACCGCCCGUCGCUACUACCGAUUGAAUGGUUUAGUGAGGUCUUCGGAUUGGUGCUGAUGGAGUGGUUCUCUGCUCUGUUAGUGCCGAGAAGAUGAUCAAACUUGGUCAUUUAGAGGAAGUAAAAGUCGUAACAAGGU
rnacentral:rRNA from 1 species